UGGGGAAUAUUGGACAAUGGGCGCAAGCCUGAUCCAGCCAUGCCGCGUGAGUGACGAAGGUCUUCGGAUUGUAAAGCUCUUUUACCAGGGACGAUAAUGACGGUACCUGGAGAAUAAGCCCCGGCUAACUUCGUGCCAGCAGCCGCGGUAAUACGAAGGGGGCUAGCGUUGUUCGGAAUUACUGGGCGUAAAGCGCACGUAGGCGGAUUUGUAAGUCAGGGGUGAAAUCCCGGGGCUCAACCUCGGAACUGCCUUUGAUACUGCAAGUCUCGAGUCCGAUAGAGGUGAGUGGAAUUCCUAGUGUAGAGGUGAAAUUCGUAGAUAUUAGGAAGAACACCAGUGGCGAAGGCGGCUCACUGGAUCGGUACUGACGCUGAGGUGCGAAAGCGUGGGGAGCAAACAGGAUUAGAUACCCCCGUAGUCCCUGAGCGGGCUGGCAAGGCGCAU
rnacentral:rRNA from 1 species